rnacentral:rRNA from 1 species
AAUGAACGCUAGCGGCAGGCUUAACACAUGCAAGUCGAGGGGUAUUGGUUUUUCGGACCAAAGAGACCGGCGCACGGGUGCGUAACGCGUAUGCAAUCUACCUUUUGCAGAGGGAUAGCCCCAGAGAAAAUUUGGAUUAAUACCUCAUAGUAUAGUACUUUGGCAUCAAGGAACUAUUAAAAGUCACAACGGCAAAAGAUGAGCAUGCGUCCCAUUAGCUAGUUGGUAAGGUAACGGCUUACCAAGGCUACGAUGGGUAGGGG